CCACGUGUUGCCAGAGGAAGUGACUGCCUCCUUCACUCCUACAUCUAUUCUAGCAGGAUUAAGAUCUUCUACACCCACCUGAAGCUGCAGCCUUCACCUUCAGGUUUAAAAGACAAGGAUGCGUAAAUGCAUGUGUACCUUGUGACUGUGCGGCUGUCUGCUAUUGUGCUGCUGUUUCGGCAUGGCAAAGCUGCCAACAAGAUGUUAAGUCUCACUGGGUUUUUCUCAGCAUCCAUUUAGGCCGCUUCCGUGCACAGACUCUGGAGAAAUGUCACACCUAUUCAGGAAUCAACUCAGAAAUGUGUCCAAAUCAACCUCCAUCACUGAACUGAUGACGUGCAUCGACAAAACGAGGGAUCGUUCAUCCUUUCCGACAAGGCUGGUGUUUUUUAC